rnacentral:rRNA from 1 species
UACGUAGGGGGCUAGCGUUGUCCGGAUUUAUUGGGCGUAAAGAGCGUGUAGGCGGCCAGGUAGGUCUGCUGUGAAAACUCGAGGCUCAACCUCGGAGACGUCGGCGGAAACCAUCUGGCUAGAGUCCGGAAGAGGAGAGUGGAAUUCCUGGUGUAGCGGUGAAAUGCGCAGAUAUCAGGAAGAACACCCGUGGCGAAGGCGGCUCUCUGGGACGGUACUGACGCUGAGACGCGAAAGCGUGGGGAGCGAACAGG